rnacentral:rRNA from 1 species
CCUACGGGAGGCAGCAGUGGGGAAUAUUGGACAAUGGACCAAGAGUCUGAUCCAGCAAUUCUGUGUGCACGAUGAAGUUUUUCGGAAUGUAAAGUGCUUUCAGUUGGGAAGAAAAAAAUGACGGUACCAACAGAAGAAGUGACGGCUAAAUACGUGCCAGCAGCCGCGGUAAUACGUAUGUCACGAGCGUUAUCCGGAUUUAUUGGGCGUAAAGCGCGUCUAGGUGGUUAUAUAAGUCUGAUGUGAAAAUGCAGGGCUCAACUCUGUAUUGCGUUGGAAACUGUAUAACUAGAGUACUGGAGAGGUAAGCGGAACUACAAGUGUAGAGGUGAAAUUCGUAGAUAUUUGUAGGAAUGCCGAUGGGGAAGCCAGCUUACUGGACAGAUACUGACGCUGAAGCGCGAAAGCGUGGGUAGCAAACAGGAUUAGAUACCCGAGUAGUC